rnacentral:rRNA from 1 species
GACGAACGCUGGCGGCGUGCUUAACACAUGCAAGUCGAACGAAAAUACCAAGCUUGCUUGGUUGAUUAGUGGCGAACGGGUGAGUAACACGUGAGUAACCUGCCCCUUACUUUCCUGGAUAACUGCUCGAAAGGGUAGCUAAUACGGGAUAUUCUGACCAGCCUGCAUGGGUUGGUUUGGAAAGGUUGUUUUUCUGGUAAGGGAUGGGCUCGCGGCCUAUCAGCUUGUUGGUGGGGUGAUGGCCUACCAAGGCUUUGACGGGUAGCCGGCCUGAGAGGGUGGACAGUCACACUGGGACUGAGAUACGGCCCAGACUCCUACGGGAGGCAGCAGUGGGGAAUAUUGCACAAUGGGCGCAAGCCUGAUGCAGCGACGCCGCGUGAGGGAUGAAGGCCUUCGGGUUGUAAACCUCUUUCGUCAGGGAACAAGGCACUGCUUUUUUGGUGGUGUUGAGGGUACCUGGAUAAGAAGCGCCGGCUAACUACGUG